GCGGUGUUUGGGAGCCAAAACGUUUGAUUCACAAGGUGUUCCAGUUCAGCGGAAUAUCCCACCUGAAUAAUUCAGAGGAGUCAAGGAGGGAGCGGAAAUGGUAAUGGCAGUCCAGCCGUCAACAGAGACACAAUGCUUUAUGACCUCUUUUAGAGUCGAGGGAAACAGAUGCUGGAGUGCAGCAGAAAGUUUGCAAAUUGCUUUUGCAAGUGCAGAGCGAGGGAAACCGUGCAUCAUAUGGGG